CCUCCCUACUCUCCCCUUCCCCCACGUCUGCAUGGCUAGCUCCUUCUUGCAAUUCAGGUCUCAGCAUCAACAUCACCUCCACAGUCAGACGCCGGCACUCUCUACAUGACCCAGGUUCAUUGUCUUCACGGCAGUUAUCACUAUCUGCAAUGAUUUUGUUUGCUUGCGAGCUCCCUGAGAGCAGGACGUGCGUCUGCCUUGCGAGACAAGCAGAAAGAAAGAGAGGAUUUCUACAGCAGCAACUACAUCUUAUGAAAACCCUCUAAUAUGUUACUUCUACUCUGAAGCGAUAAAAACAAAAGGGAAAAGAGGGCAAUUUAAUUAUGCUACCACAGAAGAUAAAGUAUUCUCACUUUAGCUGUCAGCUAUGACUACUAAAUCACUGAUUUCCUCUCUUCAUGCCUCAACCUUCAUCCAGACCCUCCUGUGCAUAUUUUCGAAGCAAAUUUAAUCUUGUCCAGAUUAUCUUUGGAACUCAAGUACAACAUUAAUGUAUAGUAAUUAUUUGUGGAGAAAAUCUGCUUUAUUGUAAUAAUUCAAAGUUCAUGUUCAUUAGUUGUAAUAGCAGACUUAAUCCUUGAAAGAGAAAGUUACCCAAGUAAUUUACAUUUUACAUCUCACUUCCAAAAUCUGUGUUGAAACUGUGUACACUUAAAAGAUGUAUAUGUUAACUCUAAAUAUAUUUUCUGAACCACAAAAUCACCCACAGCUCCUUCUAACAGCAUAGGUUCUAAAAAGAAUUUCAGGAGGAGUUACAUCAGGAAGGUGCAAUUUAUAACACUGCAGGGGAGCAUGCAGUAUUGCCUACUGGUUUUAAUAAUUAGUAUAGCCUAUGAUUUAUGUUUGUCUAUAUCAAUAUAUUCACCUUAAAAUCUAUGAGCUCCAAGUGUGUUUUAGUCCUAAAUAUCCAGAAAGCAUUUAACUUUGUAAAACAAUCUGACAAAGCAAUUUACGGCUUUAGUUCCAGAAAAUCUAAGAGAGUAGAGCCACAAUAGUAGAUGGCUCUACUGCACGGACACACAACAUCCAGAAACAAA